GAUUUGUCUCGACCACCAGCUUCUACAAAGUCACUUACUUAUGACAGCUGUCGGCUUUAUGGGCAAAAGGCUUCACUGAGUCCAUUUAGGAAUGUCAUGUCUCCUAUAGAGGAAGAGACAAUUGAGGAGCAGAUGACUGUUUCACCAGCCAUGAAAGCGAGGAGUCAGCCUGCUGAACAUUUUGCAGCAGCACAUGCUUCCAGCAUUUUGAUAUCCGAGACCCUGUUUUUUGGAAGAAAUGCUAGUAGCCUUAAUACUGAAAGGAUGAAUCCAGGUUGUCGAAGCAGUAGUGGCUGUGGAUAUCCAAAUUCUAUAGAGAUACAUGAUGAGGAAGAUCGUAGAGCUAAAGUAGAGGAGGUAUCUGAUCCUGAUGCAGCAAAAAAUAACUCGCCAACUUCACCUGAGGAACUUGCAGGUUAUAUCGUUUUGGAUUCUCAGGAGGAAAAUGAGAACCAUGAUCGGAAUGGUGUGGAAAAUAACCUACCCAGUACUUCUGCUUUGUGCCAUAGGGAGGUUAACUACUCUGAUAUCUAUGUUUAUAAAGAAAAUGAAAUGAUACCGUCUUCACAAUUAGUAGAGCAGUCUGCAAAGAAACCUAGGCACGUCGUGCCUGAAGUUUUAGAGGUGUCCAGUGACCAGAUUGUGUUGUCUUCAACAUCAAGUGAGGAAGUUGCAAGCUGUUUUGUCCAGGAUUCGGAGGAGGUCAACUCCAAGCUUUGUACUGAAGCAAUUAUUUUAAAACCAGAAACAGGAUCAAAGAAGAAGCGCUUUGUAGGGAAACGGAGGCGGCAUUUGUUUCGCCAUCCACAAAGAGCAAGAGUCAGAAUAGACCUCUCAUGAGACCUGUAUGUAAAGCUUUUUUUUUUUUGAAAUGGAUUCCGAAGGAAAUUGGUCCUAGUGUAAAUAAAUCUUGUGUCUCAACAUUUACUGUUCAUUUAUCCAACUUUUUU
rnacentral:misc_RNA from 1 species